CUUCGUGGUGCAAAUAAUAAAAUUAUAGGAAAACGUUUCAAGUGUAGUUUUUGUGUAAAAGUGAUUUGAAUUUAUGAUUUUUCAGAGCAUAAUAGACAAUUAUCCGAUGGGUCAGUGAAUGUGAAUUAUCUAGAUUUUGCAGAUUGGCGUUGAAUAUACAAAUCAAGGUACAUUUUGAAAUACCGAAGGGAAAUAAACCUAAAUAUAUGAUUUUCUAUCAGCUCCUCUCCAUUCCUAAUAGAAACCGGACUAUAUUCUAAACAUAAGGAAAGAGAUGACACUAUUUUGUUUGAGCAAAAUGUAGCGCAAACACGACGGAAAUGAGCAAACCAAUGACACUAAUUCGUUGGAACGAACGAACGAACAAACGCAUACAACAACAGCAGCAGCAAUAAAGCCAAUAAAAAAGUAUAAUAUGAAAAUUAAAGAGAUAUCCCCCCUCUCCGCCAGUACAAAUUAGUAUAUGAUCCCCCGAAAAAACAUUAAACAUAAUGUGGGGGAAAUCCCCAUGCCGAAUCGAAUAAUACCACACUGUUUUGCGAAUUCUUUAGAUGGAAAUUAAAUGGGCUUUUCAUUCACUGCAAUGCAAGCAUAAACUCAGUUUUCGGAAUGUUUGUUUGAAGUGCUAGAAAGAGAAGAAUGCUAAACAUAUGAUUUUGACACAACAAAAACAGCACAGCAGCAAACAUUGUCUACGACAAUUUACAACAGUCCAAAAAAAAAUAUAUCAGCAACAACAUCCAUUUCCACUACCGGCAACAUCGCUCAACAAAUUCCGUACGAGUUGGAGCCGAGCUGAUGGUUAUUAGUGUGAACAACAUGUGAAUGUGUGUAGGUAUGAGUUUUUUUUUUGUACCCUACAACUACUACGGCCAACAAACACCACUACUCGGCAACAACUACUUCCACUGGUGGCAGUGCUGCCCCGCUGCCGUUGCCUUUGCCACAAUAAC
rnacentral:sRNA from 1 species